UACAGAGGUCUCGAGCGUUGUUCGGAUUCAUUGGGCGUAAAGGGUGUGUAGGUGGCGCCGUAAGUCGGGUGUGAAAUUUCGGAGCUUAACUCCGAAACUGCAUUCGAUACUGCGGUGCUUGAGGACUGGAGAGGAGACUGGAAUUCAUGGUGUAGCAGUGAAAUGCGUAGAGAUCAUGAGGAACACCAGUGGCGAAGGCGGCGACCUGGGCCAAUACUGACGCUGAGGUGCGAAAGCGUGGGGAGCAAACAGG
rnacentral:rRNA from 1 species